rnacentral:rRNA from 1 species
GACGAACGCUGGCGGCGUGCUUAACACAUGCAAGUCGAACGGUGAACCUCUUCGGAGGGGAUCAGUGCCGAACGGGUGCGUAACACGUGGGCAUCCUUCCCCCGCCUCUGGGAUAACUCCAAGAACUUGGGGCUAAUACCGCAAGUUCACCGCUUCCCGCCUGGGCGGUGGUGGAAAGGGUUUCGGGCUGGGGAUGGACGCGGGGCCCAGCAGCUUGUUGGUGGGGUAGGGGCGUACCAAUGCGACGACGGGUAGCCGCCCUGGGAGGGUGACCGGCCCCACGGGGACUGGGACGCGACCCGUACGCAAACGGGAGGAAGGGGUGGGAAAUUUUGCGCAAUGGGCGGAGGCCUGACGGAGCGACUCCGCGUGGGGAAUGACGGCCUUCGGGUGGUAAGCGACUUUCGGCAGGAACGAAGCUCAAGGGAGGGUACCGGCAAAGGAGGAACGGGCAAACUACGU